GACGAACGCUGGCGGCGUGCCUAAUACAUGCAAGUUGAGCGCUGAAGGUUGGUACUUGUACCAACUGGAUGAGCAGCGAACGGGUGAGUAACGCGUGGGGAAUCUGCCUUUGAGCGGGGGACAACAUUUGGAAACGAAUGCUAAUACCGCAUAAAAACUUUAAACACAAGUUUUAAGUUUGAAAGAUGCAAUUGCAUCACUCAAAGAUGAUCCCGCGUUGUAUUAGCUAGUUGGUGAGGUAAAGGCUCACCAAGGCGAUGAUACAUAGCCGACCUGAGAGGGUGAUCGGCCACAUUGGGACUGAGACACGGCCCAAACUCCUACGGGAGGCAGCAGUAGGGAAUCUUCGGCAAUGGACGAAAGUCUGACCGAGCAACGCCGCGUGAGUGAAGAAGGUUUUCGGAUCGUAAAACUCUGUUGGUAGAGAAGAACGUUGGUGAGAGUGGAAAGCUCAUCAAGUGACGGUAACUACCCAGAAAGGGACGGUUAACUACGUG
rnacentral:rRNA from 1 species